CGGGGAGCCGUAAAGCCGACCGCGAGCAGCCCCAUCCAACGGUCCACAAGAUUCAAAUUCGUCUACUUCCGCCUGCAAUCCGGAAGGUCACAGAAGAGACCUGACGUAGAGUCGGCGUUUCUGCCCGGUGACUCUUGAAAGGAUAUUCUUGUUUACGAAAUGGA